CUACGGGCUGCACCAGUAAGGAAUAUUGCGCAAUGGAGGCAACUCUGACGCAGCCAUGCCGCGUGCAGGAAGAAGGCCUUAUGGGUCGUAAUCUGCUUUUAUUUAGGAAUAAACCCUCGCUCGUGAGCGAGGCUGAAGGUACUGAAUGAAUAAGCACCGGCUAACUCCGUGCCAGCAGCCGCGGUAAUACGGAGGGUGCAAGCGUUAUCCGGAUUUAUUGGGUUUAAAGGGUGCGCAGGCGGGCUAUUAAGUCAGUGGUGAAAUCCCGGGGCUCAACUCCGGAACUGCCAUUGAUACUGAUAGUCUUGAGUUUGGUUGAAGUGGGCGGAAUGUAGCAUGUAGCGGUGAUAUGCAUAGAUAUGCUACAGAACACCAAUCGCGAAGGCAACUCACUAAGCCAAAACUGACGCUCAUGCACGAAAGCGUGGGGAUCAAACAGGAUUAGAUACCCCUGUAGUC
rnacentral:rRNA from 1 species